UACGUAGGGUGCGAGCGUUAAUCGGAAUUACUGGGCGUAAAGCGUGCGCAGGCGGUUUUGUAAGACAGAUGUGAAAUCCCCGGGCUCAACCUGGGAACUGCGUUUGUGACUGCAAGACUUGAGUAUGGCAGAGGGGGGUAGAAUUCCACGUGUAGCGUGAAAUGCGUAGAGUAUGUGGAGGAAUACCGGUGGCGAAGGCGGCCUCCUGGCUUAAUACUGACGCUGAGGUGCGAAAGCGUGGGGAUCAAACAGG
rnacentral:rRNA from 1 species